CCGUUACACCUGGCUUGCCUAUGCGCUUCCUCAACCAACCCUCUCCUUUAGGACCAAAGCAGAGCCAGGGAGGGUCAUGCUACCACCUGUGAUCUGUUCCAGUUGCUGCAAAUGAGAGAUUUUGUUUUUACACCUGAGGGUACGUUCCGCACGCCAAAGUCACGAACUUUGCAGCUUCUCACGUUGGCGUGUGUAUGUGGCAGUGUGAAACAGGGCUGCCUGGGACAGAGAGAUCACGAACACGGACUCUGGAGCCAGAUGGCCUCGGUUUGAAUUCUGCUCUGCCACCUACCGUGUGACCUGGGACAGUCACUUAAUCUUCCUGAGCCUCAAGUGCACUGUAAAUGCCAUGGCACUACGAAGUCUCUUCAUUUCCCAAAUGAACCUUACGAUCAGUUAAAAUGGCGGCAUAUCCACAGGCUGAUGAGAAAACAAAAUCCUCUGGUCUCUCUGAUCAUGUGGUUCAUCUGCACAAAGAUGCAUCAUCCUGCCACCUUUAGUCCCACGCUGGUUUCCAGCUGUCCUCAGAGCAAGGAAGACAAUAUGACCUCCAGCCAAUUUUCUGAUGUCACAUGCCUUCAACUUGGCCCCCAUGGUUUUCCAACCAAAACAACGUUUCCUGAAGACUACUGAAGCAAAACCAAGAAUAAUAGAAAGUUUAUGUCUGGUUGUUUUUAAAAUUUAUUUGAGGAACACAAAAAAGUGUAUCUGAGUGAUUUUUUUUAAAAACAAGUUUUUAAUUCAUCAUAUGCUGCCUCACCACUCCAUAUGUAGUCUAAAAGAUGGUUCAAACACAUCUGAUUUCUAGACAAAUUAAGAUCACUGAAUUUGAUAUAAGAAUAUAUGAAGUUUCUUCUCGAGAGGUGAUGGGCACCCACAAUCAUAUGCUCAGAACCACCCACACACCCCUUCCCUCCCCUCCCUGCACUCUUGCCCUCCCUACCCCCCCCCCCCCCAAAUCUGGUGACCCAUAACACACACCUGGGAGACAGUUGGCUGGGGUGAUCUAAUUUUUGGAAUUGUUCUUUUGUUUGUUACCUGCAAAACACUAACUGGCCUUUUUAGGAUGAAAUCUCAGUAUUGGCCUCAUUGAAGUCAUGCUCUAGUCAACAGAGCUACAAAUACUAAACAGUUAAGCAAACAAAGCAAAAUCAACUUUUGCUUUUCAUAUUUCCUAGGCGAGUCUGGGGCUUUUGAAGAAAUCUCAUGAAAAAAGACAAAAGUGAGAAAUUAAAAGGAUUCUAGUUGUCAAAAGAGAAACUCACAAUUUCAUUCCGUUUGUUCCAUGGAGCAGAGAACUGGUAUAAAAGGAAAUGAUUUAAUUUUUAGGUUGCCACGUGGGUCCUAACCUAACAACGAAAGUGUUUUGUUAAAACCACCAUAAAAGUAAAAAUGAAGUUAAUUGCCAGUGUUCUUUAGGAUUUUACAAAUGAGAUGUUCCAGGUUGGAGCGACUGUUUCCUUCAGUUGCAGGCGCUUUCCCACGAGAGCCUUCAGGCUGUGGGGAGAGAAAGCCACGCUCAAUCUCGCUUACCCGUAAGGACCAAGAUUCCACUGCGUGUACGUAUUUUAAGACUUGCCCCGAUUCACCGCCCCAGUACUGGAGCUUUCAAGGCGAGAUGUGCCUGCACAGGAAGCGGUUUUCGAUUCUUUUUCACAACCCACACCAGAA